AAUGAGGAAAUACCAAUUUUUUUGUGUUACAAAGCUCCUUUAUUUAUAAUCACCUCUGUUACUAAACUUGUCUGACUCGAUACAACUGCCACACAAUCGGAGUAAUUUUUGUAAGGCAUAGUUUUUUGGGGGAGGUUAUUAAUUGCCAUAACGGAGUCGCCUUGGACAGCCACAUAGAUGAGCCGUCUUCCUGCAUACGAUCCUCAGUCUCCCCUGUAGAAAAUACUGGAUUCAGUCAAAGGAAGUAGAAAGAGUCGUGUCUGACAGAGAGGAGCAUCGCUCACAGCACACCAGCUUUCCUUCAUCAGAACAACAUAUUACGUUGAUUUGAAGUACCGUAUCUCAGAAAUAAUGUAUAUGUACGAAGACAUGCUGCCAUUUAAAACAGCACAUCAGCAAGGAGUCUUACAGCACCUGAAGGAAGCGUUGAGUGAUGCAACAUUUUCAGCUACUGCGCAACACAAACAAAUGAUAGCAUGUCCCUGAACCUGCCCGAGCAGAGAACACAAAGAACAGCAACGAUAGUUAUUGUAUGAAAGACGAUUAAAGCAAUUACUAAUGCACUCUGUACUAAUGAAUAUUUUAAUGUAAAUAUCUACUAUUGGUUCUCCCAGAGAGUGGCAAUCAGAAGCACCCUGAAACGGGAAGGUAGUGAGGUUUAUGCCAUGGUCCUUGGAGAUGUUGCGUCUCCAGCGAGGAGAAGGUUUUCACAGGAGAGGGAAGAGGUGACAGCGUUUACUGCCAGCUUCACCCUGGAGCCCUUGGUACAAGCCAUGGCCCCAGCCUGUGGAACAGUUGCCUGACAAGGAUCAAGAGCACAAACGUCUGCUCUGAAACCUCGUGGGAAGUUAAUGUGGGGAGGGAAGAAAACAGCCCAAGUAGUCAAAAACAGCUUGACAGAAGAGGAAAAACUACAACUUAUUCAGAGUAUGUAAGAGCCUAGGUAAUGUUUGCUCUCAGGAGCAACGGAGGCUAUAUUCACGGUCAUGAGGCCAAAUUCAGGUCUUAAGACAAACAUCGCUGUUUUACUGGUGAUAAUGUAUACCAGGUCAUCGCAGGGCAGGGAAGUACACACACAAACAUCCUUGCAAAUACCCCAGUGUUACAACUAAGGAGGAGGGGGUUUUGGGGUUUGUUUUUUUUUUCAUAGAUAUUUUGUGAGAAACAGGGCAGUCUGCAAUACCAAACCGCCAAAGGAUUACUUCGGACCAUAGCGUAAAGGUAAGAGAGAAACUUCUGAAGAAGCAGCAGGAGUCUUUUUGGGAGGAAGUACAAAACAAGAUAAAUACCAUGUUACUUUUUAGGUCAACUGCCUGCGUGGACUCCUGUCAGGACCGUUUCUAACAUUUAUGCAAACUGCACAAUUUAGGAUCAUAUAGCUGGGGGUGGGGGUGUCCCCCUAUUUUUUUCUUUUUUUAACCUUGGUGUUCAAGAUGAACUGUAGCGAAAUGGGAUAGAGUUUUGAUUGCUGUAAUCGUAUGUACCACGCUUAAACAUUCUGAAGUGUCCUUCGUCUCCUAAUUUUCAGCUAUCAGUAGCAUUUAUGACCCACUUUGCUCACUCUUGAGAUCAUAGCUUCUGAAACAGCGCGCCAUAAGAGGUUGUCAACAGCCUUCGAAACUGUGAACUCCUGUUUUUCAGUGUCUCCAUAUUUAUUUUUUUUUUUUGCCUCUUCCUUUUGGGGACAAUAAGAGAGGAAGCCGCUUUGGAUCAUGACUGCUCCUUGUUCUCUCCCAGCUACUCUUAUUAAAAGAGGUGCUAAAAUUUUAAGUAUAACAUUAAAAAAAAACCCCAACCAAACAAAAAACUACAAAUUAUUCAGCCAAUUCCUCCUUUAGUUUAAUGGGCACUAAUUACUGCCUUUGAAAAAUCUUACCUAAACUAUUAAAUGGUUUUUUUUU